UGCGACCCCAGGUCAGGCGGGACUACCCGCUGANUUUAAGCAUAUCA
rnacentral:rRNA from 1 species